GACGAACGCUGGCGGCGUGCUUAACACAUGCAAGUCGAACGAAGUGGCAAACGGGUGAGUAACGCGUAAUCAACCUGCCCUUCGGGGGAGGACAACCGUUGGCAACGACUGCUAAUACCGCAUACUGAAGGAGGGGAUUGCGUCUGAUUAGCUCGUUGGGGGGGUAACGGCCCACCAGGGCGAUGUUCAGUAGCCGGUCUGAGAGGUGGAACGGCCACAUUGGGACUGGGACACGGCCCAGACUCCUACGGGAGGCAGCAGUGGGGAAUCUUCCGCAAUGGACGAAAGUCUGACGGAGCAACGCCGCGUGAGUGAUGACGGCCUUCGGGUUGUAAAGCUCUGUUAAUCGGGACGCGGUACCGGAAUAGAAAGCCACGGCUAACUACGUGCCAGCAGCCGCGGUAAUAC
rnacentral:rRNA from 1 species